rnacentral:rRNA from 1 species
UGCGUAGGCGGCAUAGUAAGUCAGAUGUGAAAGCCCUCGGCUCAACCGGGGAAGUGCAUUUGAAACUGCUGAGCUAGAGUACGGGAGAGGGUAGUAGAAUUCCUGGUGUAGAGGUGAAAUUCGUAGAUAUCAGGAGGAAUACCGGUGGCGAAGGCGGCUACCUGGACCGAUACUGACGCUGAGACGCGAAAGCGUGGGGAGCAAACAGGAUUAGAUACCCUGGUAGUCC